rnacentral:rRNA from 1 species
GACGAACGCUGGCGGCGUGCUUAACACAUGCAAGUCGAGCGGUAAGGCCCUUUCGGGGGUACACGAGCGGCGAACGGGUGAGUAACACGUGGGUGACCUGCCCUCAGCUCUGGGAUAAGCCUGGGAAACCGGGUCUAAUACUGGAUAUGACUCCAUGACGCAUGUUGUGGGGUGGAAAGCCUUGUGCGGCUGAGGAUGGGCCCGCGGCCUAUCAGCUUGUUGGUGGGGUGANGGCCUACCAAGGCGACGACGGGUAGCCGGCCUGAGAGGGCGACCGGCCACACUGGGACUGAGACACGGCCCAGACUCCGUACGGGAGGCAGCAGGUGGGGAAUCUUGCGCAAUGGGCGAAAGCCUGACGCAGCGACGCCGCGUGAGGGAUGACGGCC